AAUUAGCGAGGGACGCUAAUUUAAGUAAACUCGGUCAUGUGGGGGAUUGUUUGUUUCUUUGUUUUUAUUUUGGUGGGUUUUUUUUCUGUAUUAAGAAUCUGGCUCAGUUACUCUCUAGUUCUGGUGUGUUUUCUUUUCCAGGUGGUUGGUAUUUCUGCAGUGUUUGGCACAGGACUGGGUGAGUUUUUUACCCAGCUUUCUAAAGCUGUAGAUGAAUAGGAGAGACUGAAUGCACUCCCUUUAUUCACCUUUUCAGAGAGUAUCGGCCAGAAUACGAGCGCCCGAGAAAAACACUGGACAGUUCUCUGCAGGCACAGCUACACAGAGUUUGGCUUCCCGGCGCUGCAGAAAACGUCCUAGAAUCCCACCUGACUGGAGGUUGCUUUCCAUGCUUAGUCAGAAGUUCUGUGUAACCUGAGUUGAAAUAAUCCACAUGUAAAUCUUUGUCUACGGGAGAAAGCUCAAAAUAAACAAAAGAGAGAGCAGCUGGAACACUUGUGGAAGGACAUGGGCAGCGUGUGUGUGCAGGGCAGCACACUGGCAGGUACCUCCCCAGGAAGAUAAAGUUUACUGCAGAAGUUUUCUGAAGAGUUUGCCUUGUGAAGUAGUACAGUGCUUCUUUGUCCUCACAGCAGAAAUGUGAAAGCAGCUCCAUGUUAGAGGAGCAGGGCUUUAGUUCCUGUGGGAUUGGUCACACUCAGCUCGUCCUGUGUCAGUCACAGGUUUGGAAGAAACCCCGCUGUGUAGCUAAAGCAGUGGACCUACUAGAAAUAAUGAAAUACUUUAGAAAAGGCGAAACAGUCAGAUCAGAAUAUGAGAAAGUUCUGCUGUUGGCUGCACUGUUCCUUAGAUGAGGCGAGUAGGUGCUGAUGGAGUCUGUCCUGUGUCUGGGAUCCACAAGCAGCUUUCUGUCCCCUUAGAGCAGGUGUUCAUUGCUGGGUUUCUGUGCAGAUAGAAACCUUACCUUUAGCAAGCUGCUGUGCUGUGUGUGCCUGCAGGUAAGAAAAGCUGGGAGUGCAGUCCCUCUGCUUUGAUUGCUGUGUCCCUUUGGUAGUGAUUUUGGAGGGGAAUCCCAGAGCCAUUUGGUUUGAAGGGGACCUUCAAAGGCCAGCCUGUCUUCCGUGGGCAGGGACACCUUCCCCUGUCAUCCCCGGUUGCUCCGAGUCCCGUCCAGCCUGGCCUGGAACACGUGCAGGGAUGGGGCAGGCUCAGCUUCCCUGUGCAGUGUGCUCUAAUAUCUCUCCACUGGCAUCCUGAAAAAUGUUGUCAGCGUGUUUUGUUGGCCGACGGUAAGCAGGACCUGGGUGAAAAGGACAUUCUCUGAGGUGCUGGGAGAAGGAGGACUCGUGCGGGCACCUCCAGAGACAGCGGGAACGGGAGCGUGCUGCGGAGAAGGAAAAUUCCAGGGGAAUUGCCACGAGAGGAAAUACUUCAGAGGGGCUUCCCUCCAGCUAAGCCCUGAAUAUGCCAGGAGGUUUCAGCCGGGAGGAAAGGAGCUGUGGAAGAAAAGCAGCCUAAAAAUAGCCAGCGGGGAUCAUCAGGUUUUCCAGCCAAGAAGAACAAGGAGAGAGAUGAGGGAAUCGGGUUCCAAUUCCUAAUGAUUUGGUGGGUGCAGGAAUGAUUUCUGUGUGUUUUCCAGUCCCUUUUGAUUCCUGAGAUGAUUUGAAAAUGAUGGCUUUAGCAAUCAACUAAAUCGGAGGUGUUGUUUUUGAGAGGAAAUGAUGCCAAAUAAAUGCAGAGUUUUGGGUCAGUUUUUGGGAUGAUUUGAGUCAGUUUUUGGGGUCAGUUUGGGGUCAUUGUUUGGGGUGAUUUGGGUCAGUUUUGGGUCAGCUUUUGGGGUGAUUGGGGUCAGUUUUGGGUCAGCUUUUGGGAUGAUUUGGGUCAGGUUUUGGGGUCAGUUUUGGGUCAGCUUUUGGGGUGAUUUGGGUCGGUUUGGGGUCAAUUUUUGGGGAGCACUGGGUGUUACUGGGGGUUGUUGGGGAGCACUGGGUGUUUACUGGGGAGCACUGGG